rnacentral:pre_miRNA from 1 species
CUUGUACUCCCUCCGUCCGAAAAUACUUGUCAUUCAAAUGGAUGUAUCUAGAUGUAUUUUAGUUCUAGACACAUCCAUUUUGAUGACAAGUAAUUCCGGAGGGAGGGAGUACUUG